UUGUCGAUCUUAUCAGAGGAACCAGGACUGAAAUGGGACAAAAAGAGGCCGUAUUGAGAAUAGCAGGGGCGAGUCUCUUCUGCACCCACCUGGUCCGCAGACCGCAGGCUGGAGCCCAAGGCCCCUGGAGGGACCACCUCCAGCAGAGCCAAGGACACCAACACGAAGAGAUGGGAAGGAAGAUGGCAUGAAGAGGAUGGAGAGGGGAAAAAGACUCAAACCAUGAGAAAGAAGGCAACAAAGAGCGCGAGACGGAGGAAAGUGAGAUGGGCCGCCCCUCCCACUGCGGACCAGGCAGUCCUGGCCUGGGGUCUGCCGGCCCCCAGAGCGCCCACCCUCUGCCCGCAGACGGCACACCGCCCACCCUCCACCUCUCCUGUCCUUCACACGUCGGGUCUACCUUGGGCCUCUCAACUCAGAUUUUUCUUUUCCCUUUAACAAAAUUUGUCAUUGGUUAAAAGAGAGAGAGAGAGGAAGAGAAAGAGAUGAAGUAAGCCGAGGCCCAGAGCCCUCCCUUGUCCUUGGAACAGUCAACCUGGGAAAGGGAGGGGGAUGGGAGGAGGAAAAAAAAAAAGAAAAAAGAAAAAAAAAAAGAGGAACAACGAGAAACCAAAUGUGAGAUUGAAGGGGAGGAGGUCAGGGCCGGCCUGCUGUACAGUUAGAGGCCCAAGGGCCCCGGAAUGGAGGUGAGGGGGCAAGGCCAAAAGGGGAUGGUGGUGGCGUCACCUUGUGGUCACAUUUAAAUUUUUUGGUGUAGCGGGGCACAACGAAACACAAAAAUCAAAAAACAAAAAACGAAAAUGAAAAAAACAGCAAUCAGGCAUGAAGAUGGCAUGGCUGCGCCUCCCCGCCCCCUUCCCACCCUGGCCAGCACCCCUGGCCUGCGUGCCCCACUGUGCUCCCCCUCCCGCCCCGGGAGGGGCCUGGGCCAGGGCCCCCCGGCUAGGAGCCGCGGGUGGGCAGGGGGGCUCGUGGGGUCUGGCUGGUGCAACUGAGGCCCCGGAGGCCGUGACUGGGGGCUCAGCUCUGCUCUUGUCCGGGUGGGAGGCUCCAUGCGCUCUGGGUUGGGGGGCUCUGGCGGUGGGUGGGCAGGGGUUUUUCUUUUUGCCGUGGAGACUGUUUGGAUGGGCCAGGAUGCUGGGCGUUGUGGUUUCGGUUUCAUCGUCACUACUUACAAGGUGAUGGAGGAGUCAAGGCGGCGCCGUCUGGGGCAGUGCUGGUGGAUUUGGAAUCAGGCAUAGGAAGGGGCACAGGUCUGGCCACUGGAGGCGGCGGCGGUAGCAAAAAUGACCCCGGGACUUUGCCCUGGCCGCUACCGUUGGGCUGCGAACAACAUAAAUAGAGUGACGCAUGAAGGCACAUCCCACACAGACACACGCUCCCCUGCGCGGCCACGCCAGCUCGCUCCUGAGAGCGGGCGCUCCCGGUGGAAGAUGCAGGACGGGGUCGUCUCCUCCGGGGCACGGGGUGGGUGAGGGUGUGAGGCUUCUAUUUGGUCUCUCAGGUGUUUCUCUCUUUUUUUUUUUUUUUUUUUUUUGUGGUCCUCUUUUGAAGUUGUGGGAGGGACGAAAGGGGGUGUCCGACGAGUGGUUUGUUAUUUCUUAGGGAACAUGUUUUAGGUACCAAAACAUGCCAUCUCGCCACCUAAGCAGCUGCCCCUAGCACGCUCGUGCUCUUGGAAGACCUGCCUCAGCAGGAUGGUCGUGACCUCCACCGUAGCCUUUGAAGCAGGCUGCUCCCAGGCUCCCCAGCAAGCCCGGGGACAGCCACCUCUGUGUGGCCCAGACAUGCUGCAACUUUCAAACAUCGAGCCCAGAUCUGACCUGUGCCGGCCACACCCUUCUGAGUUCUGGCCACCAACUCCCAUCACCCGCUAAAGACCAGCACCUAGGUCUGACAUUGUCUCUCCAAAUGGUUCCCUUGACUGGCUCUUUAACUGCCCACUCAGAGGUUCUCCUGGCAAAAGCAGGGCAGGGGCUGCUGAUCUCUGCGUCCUGCACCCUUUGUGCCAGGCGCCCUUUCAGAAAUACGCAACUGCCUUCCUCCAGCAGUGCAGGAAAUGCAAGUCUCAAGAGAUCACAGCCUCACUCCUUUAUUCUGCGCCAUCCUGGGCUUGCCACCCCUCUCCCCAGGGGCUGGGACCCAUGGCCCUCCGGGUAGCCCUUGCUCCUACAGGGUGCCUGUGCCUCCUUCUAGUCCUCAAGACCCUGUCUCCCCCUCACGAGGACCUAAAUCACUCAUCGCUCUUGAUGAAGCCAAUCCCAGCCCGACACGGCCAGACAUCGAACACCGCUGAUGUACAACAUUUAGUUUCUGGAAGCUACUUCCAACCAGGCUACAGUAUCUCAGCUCUGAUUGGAGUUCAAGUUGAGGUUUUAAAAAUCUCGAGGUCUUGUGAUUUUGCGGUGCCUUGAAACCUCACGAGUUAAAAGCUAGAAGGAACCUGGAGAUGGGAUAGCUCUUCACUUUCAACAGACAGAUGAAGACGAGGCCUGGCGGCUCCAGCGCUGAUGCCUGAGGCUGACCUACAAACCGUCUUCUGCCUCCCAGGGUCACGCUAUCCGGCCCUGUGACUUCUCCAUCGGUUCACUUGGUGGCCUCUUCUCUCUGCCAGAAACACAGCUAACCAGGCAUCCUCCUGCCCUUUGCGUCUCCUCUGAGUGGCGUGUCCACUUGGCCUUGGCCUUUACCGAUCUGGCUCUUCUCAAGUAGGGCCUCUUGCUGUAGUCCGAGGAUGAGCACGGGGGUGGUGCCUGGAAACCCUUUUGCAAAUCGUAAAAAUUUUGUAUGCGUACUUUUUUCUUUCUGCGAAGAUGCUCUGUAACUUCACAUUCUCAAAGAUGUUAGGAAUUUACUCCUUCAGGCUUUAGAUCAAUGGUUCUCAAAGUGGGUCCCCGACCAAGAAACAGCAUCGGCUGGGAACUUGGGGGGAAAUGCAGAUUCUCGGCCCCACCCAGGUCUGGGGAAUCAGAAUCAGGUGAGGCCCAGGCACCUGUGUGUUAGCGAGCCUUCCGGUGAUUCGUGCAUGCUAAGGCUGAGAACCUCUGCUCUGGAGGCAGCCAUGGACCCAGAGCAGCCUGGUACUGCCAUUGCUGGUCAACAAGUCAGCUGCAGAGCCUGGGGCCUCUGGCUCGCAUCCUCCAGAGCCUGCAGCCGAGCCCCAGAGAGCAGGCUCACUGAAGACACGCCCUUCUCUCUGGGAACAACAGGCCGAGGAGAGGAAACCCAGAGACUGCUCUCCAGCUGGGCUAGGCUCUUCUGUUUAACCAGACUGCCUGCUCGCCCUCCUGCCUGCAGUGUUUAUCCACGGUCUACUCGGAGCAAGCAAGGACCAGACGAGCCCUUAAUCUUGAAUGCUCAAGUCAAGGGAGAGGUUCAGGACCCAGCCAUCAUCAGGAGGCUUAAGGACAGACUGACCCAUACUCCCGAGGAUCCUGUGCAUUCGCUUUGGCUCUUUGGGCUAAACUGGCCCCUCAGGUCAGUCCUCAUUUUGGUUCCAAACCCCAGCUGCCUCUGUGGGUGAGAAGGCAGGCAAGGUGGGGUUCCCGGACUCUCUGAUCCAUAUUCCAGACCCCAGGGCCCUUGGGCGCUGGGACAUGGCCUUGUAGCUCCCGUAGACGCUGCUGUCGUCUCUGAAGGACAGUAGUACUGUUGAGGUCAUGGCCACUUCCCACUCCAUGCCCCUAAAAGUGGACAGAGCUUGUCCAGAGAGGUUGGGCAAGGCUCUGAGUGAGCUAAGGGGCUGCAGAGCCAGCGAGAGAGAACCUCACGGGGAAAAAGGAGACGAGGAAAGUAGAAGGAGGGAGAACAGGAGAGAGGGAAGAGGACCGGCUUCCGUUCUGGACAGCAAGAGCGAGGAGGCUGAGCCAUAACCCUGCCCCAAAUCAAUGGCACCAGCACGUAAGGCAAAUGCCCAUUCUGUACAGGCCGCCCUAGGGCAGCACUGGCGUGUGCCAAGGGCCGGCCCACCACUCUCCUGGCCACCUCUGGCAUAGGGGUUCCGAACGCCUCUCGCUCCCACCGACGUGCCGUUGAGCGACCUGCCCCCGACCUCUCACACACGGGUUUCCAGGCUGUACCAGCUCGAGGAAAGAGGGACUGGACCUUCUCACAGCGCCGUUUGCUGCUGGAACUCUAGAACCUUCCCAGAGGUCUAGAGACCGCCUGUCCCAACCCGAGUGCUCUCCCAGGGACUAGAGAGGACCACUGUCCCACUGAAGGGUCACCUCUGGCCCACCACUGUCUGGAUAAGCCUUUGCUGGUGGCCUAUGUUUCUGCUCAUCAGGCCCGGGGCCCUAGAGCUUGCUGACAGAGAAGGGCAGUGGGGCAGCAGAACUCCAUGGGCAACCAGCAUCUCUCCUAGGCUGAGGAGCAAGAAGGGCUUCCCUCCAGAACAAAAACAAGACCUGGGAACCUCUUGCUAAGAGUUCUGCCAACAGGAGACUCCAUGACAGCUCGAGGGAAGGAGGGAGGGCCUUGCUCCACCCAGGGCUUUCUCACCAGGGAAUGGUGAUGCCCCCAGGCACGCUGAACUCUGGAAAUAUCCUUGGUCAUCAGGACUGGGAGUGAUGGGUGCAGCUGCUAUUUAGUGGGUGGGGCCGCGGAUGCUGCCUACUACCCCACAGUGCCCGGGACGGCCCCGCAGAACAGAGAAUGGACAGCCCAGAGUUCAAUAGUGCCAGGCAAGGAACUCUCGGUCUAGCACCUACACACUCCUUGUAGCCCUGAGGUUUUAAGAGGGGUGCUACGAGGUCAGGAGCCCAGGCUGGGUUGGAGGAGAUCACGGACACACUCUUACGUGGGAACAGAGACUGAGGGGAGGGCAAGGAGCCCGAGCAAGAGCAAGGCGGGCCCGGCGACUGCCCCUCGUCCCCAACUCUGGACGGUGACAGACAGGCCCUGACAUUACACAUGGACCCCUACCCCCAGAUCCAGAAGUGGAGGUGUUUUGGCACCUACCGGCCCUCUGCUGCCUCAGCCCUAGGAGGGCUCUUGGCUUUUGGACCCUCUCCUUGUGAGCCCCGAGACAGACGGACAGAUGCAGAGAUGAGCUGUGGCAGGGCUCCGGGGGCCUGUGGACUCACCUGUCCGGUGGCCUGGCCCGAGCCGUCCGAGCACAGCACGAACUGCACAAACUCCUUCAGCGAGUCCUGCCCGUGGGUGGUGGGGUAGCGGAUGUGUCGGGUGCGUGAAGUACGGGCUCGCCUGCUGGAUGAUUGAUGUGGAGGGGAAGUGCAGCGCCGAUGCCGUGGCCCGGGGGCUCCCUGCGCGCAGGUGGGCAGGAAGAAGAGGGCGUCAGGUCUUAGGAGGCAGAGGGGGGGGCGCAUGGAAGAUGGGGUUGGUUGGGUGUGGGGGGAUGCUGGUCAGACACAGCCCUGAGGAGCCAGAGGAAAAGGGAGAAUGGGGUUAAGAUCAGGCCAGGACCAGGGGUAGGAGAAUGAGGCACCGGCUCUGGUGAGAAAGUUAAGGCAGCACCAGAUAAUUCGACAAUCGACAAUCGAGGUAAGGCAUUGUCCUUAACAACAAUACUUUCACAAGCCGUACUCUGGGGAGUCAGCCCGGAUGGCUCAGGUCGGUGAAGCAUCAGAUGCUUUUUUUUUUUUUUUAAAAGU